rnacentral:sRNA from 1 species
CCUGACGGGAUCGCCUAAUCCAACUUAAACCAAAGCAAAACCAGUGGUCCAGCAACUGAGUAUUUGUGUUUAUUGGGUCCCUGGGAGUCUGCGAUAGAAUUAUAGGCUUUUAAGUCAUUAGUGGAACCCUAAAGAACAAGGGUGAAGGAAAGGGGUGGGUAGAGGGUCCAAAGUACACGGAUGAGACAGUUGUUAUUAAAUGUGGCACGUUUUCAAGGUCUAUAAACUACCUGUCCGUCUCCUGAGCAAGGUGGGUUGCACCUGUCAAACAGACGAACUAAAUAAAAACGUCAGGAAAUGGGAUACUGUACAGGCCAUUCUGCAGCCGGGCGAGCUGCCGCUUGGUGUCUACACGCCAGGCAGCGUUACUGCUUCUCUAUUGGUACCAGAAGUGCUUGGUGGAGCUCCGUGGCUGUACUAUCUGAAAGAAGGCCGCUUGGAGCAAGGCCCUCGGCCUAGUGGGGAUUUCCUUCCCUUUGCCUCAGCGGCUUCAGGUGCAGUCUUUGCCCAUAGCAAGUUGACUGGAGGCAGUAGCAUCGAGUAUCAGGUUAAGAGGAGCCUUCUUCAGGCCAGCUCUCUGGCAUGUCAUGUGACCGUCUGACAACUCCACUGCCUUAUUCCUUGGGGCAGGUCUCAGGGUCAGUCAAUAUCAAAUCAGAGGGUUUUCGUGACCCCUCCCACCUUGCAUGACUCCUCCCACUUUGCAUGACUCCUCCCACUGUGCAUUCAGCCCAGCAACUGUACAAAAACAAAAAUAGGGAACACUUCAGGCAACGUGGUAAAGGGAUUUAGGGUUAAAGGCAUGAUUUGAGUGGAGGAAGGGAGGGUGUUGGUGGUUAGAAUGGUGCCCCCCCCCCCAGCCUAGGGACAUCUCAAUGGCUCCCCGAAGGUUAAGUUUUUUUGAGAGGUGUUCUGCACCUCUCUAAUGUGGAAUUGCUUUCUGGGAGGUCAGCAGUGCUGUGAUAAAAGCCCAUUUGGAAAAAAAAAAAUCAAUCUGAAACAUUAAAGUGGAAAUAAUUCCAUGCUCAGCUAUAGAAAGUAGGAAACACAUUUCACUGAUGAAAAGCUUUUAAACAUAAUAUAGACCUUCAUUUCCUAAUCCAUAAAGUGAGAGGUUUGGAUCAGGCGACCUUGAAGGUCAUUUGUCCCCCUUUGUUUUGGUUUUAGGAGUCUUAAACUCCCUCUUGCAUAUUUUUAAGAGUCUCAGGGGUUGGGGUUUGUUUACAUAUCUCUGAUUUUUUUUUCUCUGUUCACUCACCAUUUCCAUCUGCAUUUCUAACUUGGAUAAGUAUGUCUCCGUGUGUGGGGUGAGUUGUGGUAAACCCCGCUGCUAAGCAUAUAUAGCCAAGAUCCCUUCCAUUUUUAAUACGCUAUGAUUUUCAUAAUGCCUGCGCUUGUUUUCCCCGUCUGAAAAAUAGAAGCAGUAAUUCCUGCAUCUCUCCUUCUCCAACUGCUGAGUCGUGGGUAUUUGGAAUAUUGGAUGUAAAUAAUGGUGUGGAAGCUCCCGGGUGCCCUGCGUUCUUGGAGCUCUGCUCUAGACUGUGACAACCCUGGAAUACCUAAGCGUUCCAGCUUUUAUCGCCACCCGACCUUCCUGUCUCCAAGCACGCACACGGCCCAGCCCUGCCACCCUUCCUCAAGUGCGGAACCCUCAGUUUUUAACAAAGAGAAAGGGCGUUCUCGUGCAUUCUUUAUUAAGCUCCUCGUGGUGAUCAGGAUGAAGUGAGGUAAAUCUGUGGCUUAACCAGGUAUAAAUCAUGGCUGUGCCUUCCAGGGAUGGCCUUUGGCAAAUGUGUAUAGUUGGCACCUACACGUUAACACUCCUAUUCUUGCCACAGCAGUCAGCCAAUCCAUUCCUGACUGCGAGUGUUCACCGGAUGCAUGAGGAGCCCACCAGGGUCCUGGUAGUCAUGGAAACUCUGUGAUGUCAUCAAGCGAGCGCCUUCCAGUGAGAGGAUGCAGCCCAUGGAGGACAACGGACAGUGAGCGGGGUCUCUAUGCCUGCCUCUUCUAUGUUUGGUUUCCCCGUGUUUACGAAUUGCCAUCGAAUGUGAAAAAUGAGUGAUCAGACAAUACUUGUUAAGCCAUUAAACAGAUGAGCCAAACAAGGUCCUACUGGCUAUCAUUUGUGGUAGAGAUAGGAUCUCUACCAAGGUUACUCUGCUUGAAGAUCCGGGUUCUUAUCAGGUGCCGUGCCUAAUGCCCUGUGAAUUUUUCUCAUCUACUUAAAAUGGCAGCCCUCUAAGACAGUUAUCUUUGACUUGCAGCUCUGCUCCAGGAAGUCCAUCACCUUGUACAAGCUCUUGCUACACGUGCUGAGGGCACUGGGACCCGUCUUCCUUCACAGUUUGGCUUUCUCACCAAACAGCCAAGGUGUCCCCUUCGCAGCAAGGAAACAUGCUGGCUCCUGCUCUAAGUAGGCUAGCUCUCUGGCGUUCUGUGUGGCUUUUGACUUCAUGCACUUGAGCCCCGGGAACAUCUCUACAGACCGGUGUGCUACUUUUCAAGACAGGCGCCAUGUACUCAGCAUCUCUCUGUCCUUCUGGCAGAGCCUGCUGCUCAGUUGGGGUGACGGCAUCAUCAGUCACCCGUAUGGUGCGAGCUGCAGCUGGCACGGCCAUAUGGGUGCGCUGAAAGUUCUGAAUAACGGCAGGGAGCUUUGUCGGAUCGUUCGGAAAGCUGGAGUAUGGGACCAGGAGUCCCUUGGCACAGGGGAACUUCUAGUCAGAUCCUCUGCCAUCUCCACUAUCCUUCUGAACUUAGUAAGCUGUACCUCGCGGCAAAGUAGGAGAAAUAAAUGUAUGCGUGGCGGAACUUAUGAGCAAAACCACUGCAGCAAAACCCAGCUCAAA